ACUCUCUCUCUCUCUCGGACGAAUUGUCCUCCGCCGCCGCUGCCGUUCAACGGCGCCGUCGCCGCCGGCGAGCGGCUCAGCUCUCCCUCUCUGGGCAUCCCGUCUCUCUGAACCCUCUCUCUCCUUCCUCUCUCAAUCGUUCAUCUCUCUCUCUCUCUCUAGACUGCCGAGACAAGGCGGCAGACGCAACCACCGCGGUGCGCCACCGCUGUCCCUGUUCUCCCUUUCCCUCUCUCGGCCUCCGGCGAAGCAACCACCGCGGUGCCGCCGCCGUGAACCAGGUAAAACCUAACUCCCUCUCUACUUUCCUCAUCUUCUUCCCCCUUUUAAAUUAAAACUGAAAACUCCUCUCUCUCUCUUCCGAUUUGGCUGAAUCGGAGCAACGGCGACGUCACGGCUAUCACGUUACCGCCGCCGCCGCCGACGACGAGCCACCAUGGCUCCGCCGCCGACCGCCAUCUGAAAA
rnacentral:lncRNA from 1 species